GUACUGCAGUUGUAUCUUUUAUUCGCAGAGUGCUUUGCAAUCGUUUUUAUUAGUUUGUUGCAGCUCAGUUGUCCUGGAAACCAAUAUGCACGCAAACAGGAAGAAAAAUGGGGCUGAGGCCAGGGUAACGUGUCUAUCAGGCAGCUCCAUUUGUCUUUGACCAGCAGGAUGCCAGUGUUCCCUUGGGGGCACUUGAAGAAGUUACAUGAAAGUAACCCUUCCUUGAGAAGAGAGCAUGACCUCCACCAAGGGACUGCUAUUCGGUGGGAAGCCCAUCACACCCACAGGUGCAGUACAAGAGCCUGGUGCCCCACAUCAGAUCCUGUGGACUCACCUCUCACUCAGCUGCAGCUCCAGGGGGCAGGUCCAGCUGAGCUGGGACACACGCUGUCCUCACACCAUCUCAAGUGUACACCGAAUUGCAGCCCAUGCCUUCCCCAGAAAGGAUUUGCUCAACCAAUCAGCCAGGUGCAGGCCAACAACACAAGGCUUCACUGUCCCUGGUCGGUGCUCCUCCAGUGGGGUGGGGAGCCAGCAGACAGCCUAGCCUCUCAGUCUGCAGAUGGUUCCCCAAGUUCCUGGAGGCACAGCAGACCUGCACCUCCUCCUCUGUCUUCAUGAUGAAUCCUUCCACUGGCCUUUUCUCCUUCCCUGAUCCCUUCCUUAUGACUUUUUAUCUUCUUUGGGAUCAUUUCCAAAUAAAUGACCUGCAUUCCA